CUCUUGCCCUCAAUUGACAGGAUGCACCUGGCUUUAAAGGCUUAUCAGGAGCUGCUGGCCACAGUGAAUGAGAUGGACAUGUCCCCAGGUGAGGCUGUGAGGGAGAGUAGUCGGAUCAUCAAAAACAACAUUUUUUACAUGAUGGAGUACUGAGAACUGUUCCUGGCACUCUUUAGAAAGUUCGAUGAGAGAUACCACCCCCGCUCAUUCCUUCGUGACCUGGUGGAAACUACCCACCUCUUCCUCAAGAUGUUAGAGCGGUUCUGUCGGAGCCAUGGGAACCUGAUGGUGCAG